rnacentral:lncRNA from 1 species
AAGGCCCGGCAGUACGCCGCGGGGCUGCCGAUGAUGUGCCGGCUGGAGCCACAGGAGUGCAGCGUCUUCUCCGGCGACCAGUACAAGUAGGUGCGGAGUGAGGUGGUGCGGCGGCGUGCAAGAGCUUGCAUGCACGCGUGCAAAUCCUGAAUAAAGUAGCUGUGACGUGGGUUCUCAGUUCUCACAUUGUUGUGUGCUACAAAUACAAUAAUGAUGAUAAGUGAUGAAUAAGGAAAUGUGGCCAGCUGGUACUGGUACGAUUCUACAUUUCUACCAGUGUAGGAAAAGUUCAGAAAGAAUUCCAAAGGAAUCACAUGGGAAUUCCAAUAAAAUCGAAAGAAAUUCUGCAUAAUUCCAACGAUUCAAACUGGACUAGUGAUUGCUGAUGAAAUGGAUAGCACAAUUAUGGAGUAUAACACAUUGAUAAAAGUGAAAAGCAUCAAUAUAAAUCCAAGGUAGCCAUCCAAUAUGAUAUUUUUAUUCAUCAUAUAAUUAUAAUAUUCAUUUUAUACAUUGUCAGACUAGUCCUGAUCAAUUCUUCAUCAUGCUGUGGUUAUUUACUCACCAAUAAAUAUAGUGCUCAUCAAUAUGUAAAUAAAACUGCCCCAUUCUACAUUAUUUCUUUGAUAAAAAUUGACAAUUGCAAGUCUUGCAAAGGGAAUUUGCAGCUCGUAUUAACAUCAUGUAAUUGGAGAGAAAUUUUAUACAAAUAAAAAAUUAUGUAAAUAGAUGGACAUAAAAUAUUUCGAAGAAAUCAGGAUCCAAUUCACAAUAAACAUGCAUCUUUCCCAAUUGCAUGGCUAAGCUUGACCACACACUCUUAAAUCGACUAGAAAUGGACUAGAGUACUAGAGUGCAUGGGGAAUGCGGCGUCUCGGUCUGUGGACCUGGAAAAUAAAAGUGACCUGCCACACUCUUCAUGCAACCGAAUUUCUAGUGAACAACGAAAUUUUGUCACAAACAAUAGCGACAUCUCUACCACGCAUACUCUGAACGAAUUUUCUAUCCAGCCAUAGUUGUUAACGGGCUCCAUCCUACGCCUCUUCCUAAUUGAAGCAUAACACCAUGUGCGCCAUGCAUGGUUAUACACCCUGAGCUAAUCGCCAGCCACUGGGUGAAAACAGACUCCUAUUUCUCAUGCGAAAGAUUAGGGUGUGCCAAUACAAUUACUAAAACGAACAGCAAUCGAGAGGAGAAACGAGCGGACCAAAAAUGGCUUCUUGGCCAGAGCACUUUCAUCCAAGGAAAGGUAGCAGCUGCCUCAUUCCCAAUUUACCGUCCACAGAGAAAGGAGCGCGUGGCAAGAAACCAAGUGGGAGAAAAAUUAGAGAGAGAGAAAGGGAAUAUUACCUUUGCGUCCUCUUGCUGUUCUUCGUUUGCGUGCAGGGAUCGGCACGAGGGUGCUCGCCCACUCUCGCGUCGAUCCGGCAAUUCCAUGGGGCUACUGAGCUCGGCCAACAGAUGUGGCUGCAAGAACCUCCUGAGCUGCAACCUCCUC